rnacentral:rRNA from 1 species
UACGAGGGGUGCAAGCGUUGCUCGGAAUUAUUGGGCGUAAAGGGUAGGUAGGUGGUCUCAUUUGUCUGGGGUGAAAGCCUUGAGCUUAACUCAAGAAGUGCCCCAGAAACGGUGAGACUAGAGUCCUGGAGAGGGUCGUGGAAUUCCCGGUGUAGCGGUGAAAUGCGUAGAGAUCGGGAGGAACACCAGAGGCGAAGGUGGCGACCUGGACAGGUACUGACACUCAACUACGAAAGCGUGGGGAGCAAACAGG